UACGAAGGGGGGCUAGCGUUGCUCGGAAUCACUGGGCGUAAAGCGCACGUAGGCGGAUUGCUAAGUCAGGGGUGAAAUCCUGGAGCUCAACUCCAGAACUGCCUUUGAUACUGGCGAUCUUGAGUCCGGGAGAGGUGAGUGGAACUCCGAGUGUAGAGGUGAAAUUCGUAGAUAUUAGGAAGAACACCGGUGGCGAAGGCGGCCCACUGGAUCGGUACUGACGCUGAGGUGCGAAAGCGUGGGGAGCAAACAGG
rnacentral:rRNA from 1 species